UACAGAGGGCGCGAGCGUUAAUCGGAAUUACUGGGCGUAAAGCGCACGUAGGUGGCGACGUAAGUCGGGUGUGAAAGCCCCGGGCUCAACCUGGGAAUUGCAUUCGAGACUGCAUUGCUGGAGUACGGAAGAGGAAGGCGGAAUUCCCGGUGUAGCGGUGAAAUUCGUAGAUAUGGGGAGGAACACCGGUGGCGAAGGCGGCCACCUGGACGGUCACUGACGCUGAGACGCGAAAGCGUGGGUAGCAAACAGG
rnacentral:rRNA from 1 species